GUGCCAGCAGCCGCGGUAAUACAGAGGUCCCGAGCGUUGUUCGGAUUCACUGGGCGUAAAGGGUGCGUAGGCGGUUCUGAAAGUCUGAUGUGAAAUCUCCAGGCCCAACCUGGAAACUGCAUUAGAAACUACAGGGCUAGAGGCUUGGAGGGGGAACUGGAAUUCUCGGUGUAGCAGUGAAAUGCGUAGAGAUCGAGAGGAACACCAGUGGCGAAGGCGAGUUCCUGGACAAGUCCUGACGCUGAGGCACGAAAGCCAGGGGAGCAAACAGGAUUAGAUACCCUGGUAGUCC
rnacentral:rRNA from 1 species